CCUUCCCCACUGAAUCUCCAGCCCACAUUCACAAACAAAGACAAACCUGUGUAAACUGAAGCACCACAAAACUACUUUUAUGAAAGCAGAAUGGAAGCAGAUUUCACCUGCAUUUCCUACAUUCAACUGAAUCCUUUAAAUUGACUGAGGCACAUCCUGUACCAAGGAGAGACCUUUGUUACUGCCUUUGAUCCUGAGACCUUCUGAGCCAGGAAAAAAAAUAAGAUACAGAAUAUAAAGAGACAGCAUAAAUGAUAGAAAACAAAAUAAGCAUGUUCAUGAGCCAGAAAUCAAGAAGAAAAGGCAAUGAUAAAAAGGGCUGAAGCCGCCUCCUUGGUAUAACCACGCAUUUACGGAAGAUGACGUUACCAGCAGCCCUGGGGAUGUAAAGGUUAAAUAUAUAUGUAUCUAUGAAGAAAUGCAUGUUAAAAAGUGGUUUGAAAUAAGACAUGCGGAAGCAAAAUUCAUUUUUCUUUGUAUGGGUAAGUAGUAUGUUUUUCUUUGUAUGGGUAAGUAGUAUGGC
rnacentral:lncRNA from 1 species